rnacentral:rRNA from 1 species
GACGAACGCUGGCGGCUUGCUUAACACAUGCAAGUCGAACGGAAAGGCCCUGCUUUUGUGGGGUGCUCGAGUUGCGAACGGGUGAGUAACACGUGAGUAACCUGCCCUUGCCUUUGGGUUACCUUCAGGAAACUCGGGCUACUACCGGAUAGGAGCACCUGCUGCCUUGGGGGGGUUGGAAAUUUUCGGCGGUUGGGGAUGGACUUGCGGCUUAUCAGCUUGUUGGUGGGGUAGUGGCUUACCAAGGCUUUGACGGGUAGCCGGCCUGAGAGGGUGACCGGCCACAUUGGGACUGAGAUACGGCCCAGACUCCUACGGGAGGCAGCAGUGGGGAAUAUUGCACAAUGGGCGGAAGCCUGAUGCAGCAACGCCGCGUGCGGGAUGACGGCCUUAGGGUUGUAAACCGCUUUCGCCUGUGACGAAGCGUGAGUGACGGUAAUGGGUAAAGAAGCACCGGCUAACUACGUG